rnacentral:rRNA from 1 species
AGAAUGAACGCUGGCGGCAUGCCUAACACAUGCAAGUCGAACGAACUACCUUCGGGUAGUUAGUGGCGCACGGGUGCGUAACGCGUGGGAAUCUGCCCUUGGGUUCGGAAUAACAGUGAGAAAUUACUGCUAAUACCGGAUAAUGUCGCAAGACCAAAGAUUUAUUGCCCAAGGAUGAGCCCGCGUAAGAUUAGCUAGUUGGUGGGGUAAAGGCCUACCAAGGCGACGAUCUUUAGCUGGUCUGAGAGGAUGAUCAGCCACACUGGGACUGAGACACGGCCCAGACUCCUACGGGAGGCAGCAGUGGGGAAUCUUGCGCAAUGGGCGAAAGCCUGACGCAGCAACGCCGCGUGGGGGAUGAAGGCUCUCGGGUUGUAAACCCCUUUCAGCAGGGACGAAUCAAGACGGUACCUGCAGAAGAAGCCCCGGCUAACUACGUGCCAGCAGCCGC